CAAAGCACUUUGAAGAGAGAGUUAAAGAGGACGUGAAACCGAUAAGAUUGAAACGGAUAGAGCCGACGUAUCUAACCCGUAUUCAGCUGUAGAGCGGUACUUGGUAGAUUGACUGGUCCUGCUUCUGGCUGGUCGAUUUGCUUUGAGUGCUGUUUUGCAGUGCAUUUACAGGUGGAGUGCGCUGAGAGAUACACUUCAGCGGUUGGAAGCCGGUCAAGAGGCCUUUACCUUCGGGCAAGAAACCCAGACUGGUGAAAGACUGUUUGUCGUGUUUGCUUAUACGAGUGUGGCCUACGAGUCGGCUAGCUUCUUGUUCUGCGGUGGAUAGCGGUCGCAUGCGACUGUUACUGCUUGCGGUUUAGGUUGCUGGUGCGGAUUCUCGCGCUCAAUCUCGGUGUAAAAGUUGGUCAUCUAUCCGACCCGUCUUGAAACACGGACCAAGGAGUUUAGCGGAUGCGCGAGUCAUUGGGUGUUAAAACCUAAAGGCGCAAUGAAAGUAAAGGUAUCCUUAUGGAACUGAUAUGCGAUCCUGGGCAUCUUGGUGCCUAGGCGCAGCAUAGCCCCAUCCUAAUUGCUUGCAAUGGGGUGGAGGUAGAGCGUAUCCGCUGAGACCCGAAAGAUGGUGAACUAUGCCUGAGCAGGAUGAAGCCAGAGGAAACUCUGGUGGAAGUCCGAAGCGGUUCUGACGUGCAAAUCGAUCGUCUGACUUGGGUAUAGGGGCGAAAGACUAAUCGAACCAUCUAGUAGCUGGUUCCUGCUGAAGUUUCCCCCAGGAUAGCUGGAGCUCGGGAAUGUAGUUAUACUCGGUAAAGCGAACGAUUAGAGGACUUGGGGACGAAAUGUCCUUAACCUAUUCUCAAACUCUCAAUGGGUAUGAAGCUGGUGUUUCUUUAUUGAACUCUGGCGUUGAAUACAUGAGCUCCAAGUGGGCCAUUUUUGGUAAGCAGAACUGGCGAUGCGGGAUGAACCGAACGCAGUGUUAAGGUGCCAAAGUUUCCGCUCAUUAGACCCCAUAAAAGGUGUUGGUUGAUAUAGACAGCAGGACGGUGGCCAUGGAAGUCGGAAUCCGCUAAGGAGUGUGUAACAACUCACCUGCCGAAUCAACUAGCCCUGAAAAUGGAUGGCGCUGGAGCGGGACACCUAUACUCUGCCGUUAGCUGCUUGAAUUUUCCUCGGAGAAUAUCUGGCUCUAACGUGUAAGCAGGUCGUAGUGGUUUGCGUUGAAGGCUUGGGGUGUGGA
rnacentral:rRNA from 1 species